rnacentral:tRNA from 1 species
GGAAGGAUGGCCGAGUGGUUGAUGGCGCUGGUCUUGAAAACCAGAAUAGGUGAAAGCCUAUCGGGGGUUCGAAUCCCUCUCCUUCCGCCA